rnacentral:rRNA from 1 species
AUUGAACGCUGGCGGCAGGCCUAACACAUGCAAGUCGAACGAGUGGCGGAGGGGUGAGUAAUAUCUGGGAAAAUGUCCGAUGGGGGGGGAGAAAUCCUGGAAAAGGUGGCUCAUAUCCCAUACCCUCGGAUGUGCCCAGAUGGGAGUAGCUUGUAGGUGAGGUAACGGCUCACCUAGGCGACGAUCCCUAGCUGGUCUGAGAGGGUGACCAGCAACACUGGAACGGAGACACGGUCAAGACUCCUACGGGAGGAAGCAGUGGGGAAGAUUGCACAAUGGGCGCAAGCCUGAUGCAGCCAUGCCGGGUGUAUGAAGAAGGCCUUCGGGUUGUAAAGUACUUUCAGCGAGGAGGCGUUACUCGCAGAAGAAGCACCGGCUAACUCCGUGCCAGCAGCCGCGGUAAUUC